rnacentral:misc_RNA from 1 species
AAAGUCGUAACAAGGUUUCCGUAGGUGAACCUGCGGAAGGAUCAUUAACGAGUUAGGGUCUUCUAGGCCCGACCUCCCAACCCUAUGUUUAUUGAACCUCUGUUGCUUCGGCGGGCCCGUCUCACGACCGCCGGAGGAGUCGCCGCGAGGCACCCUCUGGCCAGCGUCCGCCGAUAGCCAACCCCCCAAACUCUGAAUAAAUCGUGUCAUGAUGUCUGAGUCUUAUGAUUAAAUUAAAGCAAAACUUUCAACAACGGAUCUCUUGGUUCUG